UACGUAGGGGGCUAGCGUUGUCCGGAAUCAUUGGGCGUAAAGCGCGUGUAGGCGGCUCGGUAAGUCCGCUGUGAAAGUCGGGGGCUCAACCCUCGGAUGCCGGUGGAUACUGUCGGGCUAGAGUACGGAAGAGGCGAGUGGAAUUCCUGGUGUAGCGGUGAAAUGCGCAGAUAUCAGGAGGAACACCAAUUGCGAAGGCAGCUCGCUGGGACGUUACUGACGCUGAGACGCGAAAGCGUGGGGAUCAAACAGG
rnacentral:rRNA from 1 species